rnacentral:tRNA from 1 species
AUGAGGGUGCCAGAGUGGCUAAAUGGGUUGGAUUGUCAAUCCAAUGGCUUAGUGCCUACAGGGGUUCAAAUCCCCUCCUACGUU